UACGGAGGGUACAAGCGUUAUCCGGAUUUACUGGGUUUAAAGGGUGUGUAGGCGGCUUUUUAAGUCAGUGGUGAAAGCCUAGUGCUUAACCCUAGAACUGCCAUUGAAACUGAAGAACUAGAGUCAAGGAGAGGUAAGUAGAAUUUAUGGUGUAGCAGUGAAAUGCUUAGAUACCAUAAGGAAUACCAAUAGCGAAGGCAGCUUACUGGCCUUGUACUGACGCUGAGGCACGAAAGCGUGGGGAGCAAACAGG
rnacentral:rRNA from 1 species